rnacentral:rRNA from 1 species
GACGAACGCUGGCGGCGUGCUUAACACAUGCAAGUCGAACGAAGAGCGAUGGAAGCUUGCUUCUAUCAAUCUUAGUGGCGAACGGGUGAGUAACGCGUAAUCAACCUGCCCUUCAGAGGGGGACAACAGUUGGAAACGACUGCUAAUACCGCAUACGAUCUAAUCUCGGCAUCGAGGAUAGAUGAAAGGUGGCCUCUACAUGUAAGCUAUCACUGAAGGAGGGGAUUGCGUCUGAUUAGCUAGUUGGAGGGGUAACGGCCCACCAAGGCGAGGAUCAGUAGCCGGUCAGCGAGGAGAAACGGAGUAGCUGGGCUGGGGACAUGACCCACACUACUACGGGAGGCAGCAGUGCGGAACCCUCCGCAAUGGACGAAAUGGGGACGGUUCAACAAUGCGUGAGUGAUGAAGGCCGUCGUGUUGUAAGAAUCUGUUAAUCGGGACGAAAGGCCUUCUUGCGAAUAGUGAGAAGGAUUGACGGUACCGGAAGAGAAAGCCACGGCUAACUACGUG